rnacentral:misc_RNA from 1 species
AACUUUUAGCAAUGGAUCUCUUGGCUCUCGCAUCGAUGAAGAACGCAGCGAAAUGCGAUAAGUAAUGUGAAUUGCAGAAUUCAGUGAAUCAUCGAAUAUUUGAACGCACCUUGCGCUCCUUGGUAUUCCGAGGAGCAUGCCUGUUUGAGUGUCAUUAAUAUAUCAACCCUCUCAUGUUGAGGGAGCAGUGGGUGGUAUGUGGGGGGUUUGCUGGUCAUAUAAAAAAGGUUCAGCUUCCUUAAAAUGCAUUAGCAGAACAACCUGUUCAUUGUUGUGAUAACUAUCUACGCUAUUGAAUGUGAGGGCAGUUCAGCUUUCUAACUGUCCUUGGACAAUUCUUCAUUUAUGUGUUCUCAAAUCAGGUAGGACUACCCGAUGAACUUAAGCAUAUCAAUAAGCAGAGGCU